rnacentral:rRNA from 1 species
GAUGAACGCUGGCGGCGUGCCUAACACAUGCAAGUCGAGCGAUUCUCUUCGGAGAAGAGCGGCGGACGGGUGAGUAACGCGUGGGUAACCUGCCCUGUACACACGGAUAACAUACCGAAAGGUAUGCUAAUACGGGAUAAUAUGCUUUAGUCGCAUGGCUGAAGUAUCAAAGCUCCGGCGGUACAGGAUGGACCCGCGUCUGAUUAGCUAGUUGGUAAGGUAAUGGCUUACCAAGGCGACGAUCAGUAGCCGACCUGAGAGGGUGAUCGGCCACAUUGGAACUGAGACACGGUCCAAACUCCUACGGGAGGCAGCAGUGGGGAAUAUUGCACAAUGGGCGAAAGCCUGAUGCAGCAACGCCGCGUGAGCGAUGAAGGCCUUCGGGUCGUAAAGCUCUGUCCUCAAGGAAGAUAAUGACGGUACUUGAGGAGGAAGCCCCGGCUAACUACGUGCCAGCCGCCGCCGUAA